GAUGAACGCUGGCGGCGUGCUUAACACAUGCAAGUCGAACGGACUAAAUGAAACCUAGUGAUUUUAGUUAGUGGCGGACGGGUGAGUAACGCGUGGGAAACUGCCCACCACUGGGGAAUAACGUUUGGAAACGAACGCUAAUACCGCAUACGCCGGAAACGGGAAAGAUUUAUCGGUGGUGGAUGUGCCCGCGUUGGAUUAGCUUGUUGGUGGGGUAACGGCCUACCAAGGCGAUGAUCCAUAGCUGGUCUGAGAGGACGAUCAGCCACGCUGGAACUGAGACACGGUCCAGACUCCUACGGGAGGCAGCAGCUAAGAAUAUUGGGCAAUGGAGGAAACUCUGACCCAGCCAUGCCGCGUGAAUGAAGAAGGCCUUCGGGUUGUAAACUUCUUUUACCAGGGACGAAGGACGUGACGGUACCUGGAGAAAAAGCCACGGCUAACUACGUG
rnacentral:rRNA from 1 species